UUCAAAUUUGUGUACCUGCUGUAAAUACGGACGAACAGCCAUUUGUGAGAUCAAGGUGGGUUUGCGAUUAGUUGUGCAAUGCCCAUAAAGAACUCAUCACAUGA